rnacentral:rRNA from 1 species
CGAGGAAUAUUGCGCAAUGGGCGCAAGCCUGACGCAGUAACGCCGCGUGCGGGAUGAAGACCUUCGGGUUGUAAACCGCUUUUCCUGCGGACGAGUGAGGACGGUACGCAGGGAAUCAGUCUCGGCUAACUACGUG